rnacentral:rRNA from 1 species
UGAGGAACAUGACCUUCGGCGGGGGAUAGCCGGCCCUACGGCCGGGUAAUACCGCGUACGACCACAUGGGGACAUCCCUGAGUGGUGAAAGCAGCAAUGCGCCGAUGGAGUGCCUCGCGGCCUAUCAGCUAGUUGGUGAGGUAACGGCUCACCAAGGCGACGACGGGUAGCCGGUCUGAGAGGAUGGCCAGCCACAUUGGGACUGAGACACGGCCCAGACCUCCGUAGGGAGG